rnacentral:piRNA from 1 species
AUGGCAGUGAAUAUCAAACAGUAGACCGCCA